AGCGGUUACCGUGGGCACGAUAACUGGUCUUGGUGGUUGGUACUCGAGACCCAAGUUGAUUCACAUUUCCAACUAGGUUUAUUUCUAAAUGAAAUAAACGAAGCAGGUAGCGUACUAUCUAUCUCUCUUAAAAAAAAAAAAGCCUGAAUCGGUGUACGAACAUAUGCGACUGCAUUCGGUUAAAUCGAAUCGGGUACGCCCAUAAGCGGGUUCGAUCCGACGGAUGUUAUGUUAUCUAAUUGGAUUGGAAUUAAUUUCGCUUUCAAAUUGGAAAGUUAGUUAGAGAUAAAUCCUAGUCAUAUUAGGAUAGCAAUUAAUAACCGAUUUAGCCUUAUCUCUAACGCUAUUAGAAUUUUGGAAUCCCUUAUAAAUAUGCGGGCGAUCCCACAUAACAAAAAGGUACAAGAACGGAAAAAGAAAAGAGAAUAAGAAAAACGAAAGAGAGAAACCACAUCCUCCAUUAACCUAUUAUUCUAAGAGGGACUUGAACGGUGGAUUUGUGAUCGUGCUCGUUUGUAGUUCGAUCCAUCGCGAGUUUGGAACGCGAGAAGAUUUAAUCAAGGACGAUCAAAGGAUACGUGAAUUAACCUCGACGAUCCGGGCUCAUCGAGUUGUAACGCGAAUCGCUUCCGCAAAAAGGUACGAACGAAUACUUCCGUUGCGUUCUACAUUGGUCAGAGCAGGUUCAUCAGCUGGACAUGUGUGGCGAGUCUCGGCUGAGCCAGGGUCUGGAUGACGGGCUAGCGAGACGAGUGUCACAUCGCCUGGUGAUCUUGGGCUGUAUGAUUGGACUGACGAGGACGUCAGGGCUUUAACGGGGGAAGUCUGUGACACCCCCAAUAAUCCCACAUCGGAUGGGGUUGUCAUUGUGUUUAUAAUAGACUUAAACACUAGUAAUAAUAACUGGGCUUAAGCAUUUUGGGCCGGUAUUUGGGCCCAACAAGUUAUUGUUGCUAGUGGGCUGGGUCGUUACAUUUGGUAUCAGAGCCGGUUCACCAGCUGGACAUGUGUGGCGAGUCUCGGCUGAGCCAGGGUCUGGAUGACGGGCUAGCGAGACGAGUCUCACAUCGCCUGGUGAUCUUGGGCUGUGUGAUUGGACUGACGAGGAUGUCAGGGCUUUAACGGGGGGAGUCUGUGAUACCCCAAUAAUCCCACAUCAGAUGGGGUUGUCAAGCAUAGUCAAUUAAUAAAAUAGAUAAAAAUCUUUUGGCAUAAUGUAAAUUUUUUAUGCAUGUCUUAUCAAGUGAAAAUUUUAUUUUUUGGUAGAGCAAAUUAUAUGUUUUUACUCCCAUAUA
rnacentral:lncRNA from 1 species